AAGGCCAGCCAACAAGACCCUUUUUUAAAAAUCGCAUGUCACCUCUCUCCACUCGAAAAUGGCGCCGAAAUCGAAGAACUUCUUAAAUUUCAUUGCAAGCUUUUUGCAAUGGUUUCUGGGAUUUUCCUGCGAGGCUGCUCUGCUGUGUCUGAAGGCUCACGAACUAAGGAGCAAGCAAUCGAGACCGAGGGAGGAAGGAAAAGAGCAUCUACAAAUAAAUGCUGACAGAGCCAUGCAUGGAGCAAAGGGCCAGCCUGUCAUUUGCCUGCCAGAAAUCUGUACCCUCCCGCAACCGUACCAGCCGCCUGUGCCAGGUUAGCCCUUCUCAGCUACUGUGUUUCAUCAUUCUGAUGCUUGGAAAGCCUAUGGAGAAGGCCGGAAGAGAGGAACUGAGGUAUCCCGCCAGCAGCCACUCGAAUAAGCUUGGAAGCAGAUUCUCAGUUCCAAGUAAGACUUUUUGCUGAUUGUAGCUGCAACUCACAAGAGCCCCUGAACAAGAGGCACCCAACUAAAUCCUGCCCAGAUUCCUGACCCACAGAACAUAGGAGACAAUGAAGACCUGUUUUUUGGUGGUAAUUUGUUAUUCAGCAAUAGAUAACUAAUACAGAAGGUCCUGUACUUGUAUAACUGACACUAGUUUA